GACGAACGCUGGCGGCGUGCUUAACACAUGCAAGUCGAACGGAAAGGCCCUGCUUUUGUGGGGUGCUCGAGUGGCGAACGGGUGAGUAACACGUGAGUAACCUGCCCUUGACUUUGGGAUAACUUCAGGAAACUGGGGCUAAUACCGGAUAGGAGCUCCUGCUGCAUGGUGGGGGUUGGAAAGUUUCGGCGGUUGGGGAUGGACUCGCGGCUUAUCAGCUUGUUGGUGGGGUAGUGGCUUACCAAGGCUUUGACGGGUAGCCGGCCUGAGAGGGUGACCGGCCACAUUGGGACUGAGAUACGGACCAGAAUCCUACGGGAGGCAGCAGUGGGGAAUAUUGCACAAUGGGCGGAAGCCUGAUGCAGCGACGCCGCGUGCGGGAUGACGGCCUUCGGGUUGUAAACCGCUUUCGCCUGUGACGAAGCGUGAGUGACGGUAAUGGGUAAAGAAGCACCGGCUAACUACGUG
rnacentral:rRNA from 1 species